rnacentral:rRNA from 1 species
AGGAACACCGGUGGCGAAGGCGGGUCUCUGGGCAGUAACUGACGCUGAGGAGCGAAAGCAUGGGUAGCGAACAGGAUUAGAUACCCUGGUAGUCCAUGCCGUAAACGGUGGGCGCUAGGUGUAGGGGUCUUCCACGACUUCUGUGCCGUAGCUAACGCAUUAAGCGCCCCGCCUGGGGAGUACGGCCGCAAGGCUAAAACUCAAAGGAAUUGACGGGGGCCCGCACAAGCGGCGGAGCAUGUGGAUUAAUUCGAUGCAACGCGAAGAACCUUACCUGGGCUUGACAUAUACGGGACCGGGCCAGAGAUGGUCCUUCCCUUGUGGCUCGUAUACAGGUGGUGCAUGGUUGUCGUCAGCUCGUGUCGUGAGAUGUUGGGUUAAGUCCCGCAACGAGCGCAACCCUUGUCUUAUGUUGCCAGCACGUAAUGGUGGGGACUCGUGAGAAACUGCCGGGGUCAACUCGGAGGAAGGUGGGGAUGACGUCAAAUCAUCAUGCCCCUUAUGUCCAGGGCUUCACACAUGCUACAAUGGUCGGUACAGUGGGUUGCGAUGCCGUGAGGUGGAGCUAAUCCCUGAAAGCCGGUCUCAGUUCGGAUCGGGGUCUGCAACUCGACCCCGUGAAGUCGGAGUCGCUAGUAAUCGCAGAUCAGCAACGCUGCGGUGAAUACGUUCCCGGGCCUUGUACACACCG